rnacentral:rRNA from 1 species
AGUGAACGCUGGCGGUAGGCCUAACACAUGCAAGUCGAACGGCAGCACAGUAAGAGCUUGCUCUUACGGGUGGCGAGUGGCGGACGGGUGAGGAAUACAUCGGAAUCUACUUUUUCGUGGGGGAUAACGUAGGGAAACUUACGCUAAUACCGCAUACGACCUACGGGUGAAAGCAGGGGAUCUUCGGACCUUGCGCGAUUGAAUGAGCCGAUGUCGGAUUAGCUAGUUGGCGGGGUAAAGGCCCACCAAGGCGACGAUCCGUAGCUGGUCUGAGAGGAUGAUUAGCCACACUGGAAAUGGGACACGGUCCAGAGUCCUACGGGAGGCAGCAGUGGGGAAUAUUGGACAAUGGGCGCAAGCCUGAUCCAGCCAUACCGCGUGGGUGAAGAAGGCCUUCGGGUUGUAAAGCCCUUUUGUUGGGAAAGAAAAGCAGCAGGUUAAUACCCCGCUGUUCUGACGGUACCCAAAGAAUAAGCACCGGCUAACUUCGUG